GAGCCUGAGAAACGGCUACCACAUCCAAGGAUGGCAGCAGGCGCGCAAAUUACCCAAUCCCGACACGGGGAGGUAGUGACAAUAAAUAACAAUACGGGGUUCUUCAGGAUCUCGUAAUUGGAAUGAGUACAAUUUAAAUCUCUUAACGAGGAACAAUUGGAGGGCAAGUCUGGUGCCAGCAGCCGCGGUAAUUCCAGCUCCAAUAGCGUAUAUUAAAGUUGUUGCAGUUAAAAAGCUCGUAGUUGAAUUUCGGGGUUAGUAGGUUGGUCAUGCCUCUGGUAUGUACUGGUCUCACUGAUUCCUCCUUCCUUAUGAACCGUAAUGCCAUUAAUUUGGUGUUGCGGGGAAUUUGGACUGUUACUUUGAAAAAAUUAGAGUGUUUAAAGCAAGCUAACGCUUGAAUACAUUAGCAUGGAAUAAUGAAAUAGGACGUUCGAUCUUAUUUUGUUGGUUUCUAGGAUUGACGUAAUGAUUAAUAGGGAUAGUUGGGGGCAUUAGUAUUCAAUUGUCAGAGGUGAAAUUCUUGGAUUUAUUGAAGACUAACUACUGCGAAAGCAUUUGCCAAGGAUGUUUUCAUUAAUCAAGAACGAAAGUUAGGGGAUCGAAGACGAUCAGAUACCGUCGUAGUCUUAACCAUAAACUAUGCCGACUAGGGAUCGGAUGAUGUUAAUUUUUUAAUGACUCAUUCGGCGCCUUACGGGA
rnacentral:rRNA from 1 species